CUUUUAUUCGUACCUGACAAAAACUACUUUUGGAAAGAGACAAGAGUGGAUGGAUGUGAUGAAAAUGUAUAAGGCAUACAAAGCAUUUUUACAAAGAAUAGAAUAUGAGAAUACAGAGAGUACAGGUGAAAUCUGGAUUAAACCUUGGGCAGAAAAAUUAGCUGCAAAAAAAUAUACAUUAACAAAUGAAGAUAGGAAAAUCCGCCAUCUACUCCCAGACUUUUUGCACACAAUUAAAAAGCAUCACAAACACCAGGGUGAAUGGAAUUGGCAAGACUUCAUACAGUCACCGUUCCCCUAUCAAAUGACUUUCCUCUAUACCACCGAGAGAUCAUUAUUCCUCACGGCACCCAUAAAUGAUUGGAACGGCGAAAAGGAUAAUGAGACAAUAUUUAAGAAAUGGUUGCCACUAACUCCUGAUGCUCAAUGGCAUCAGCUUCGCUGGUCUCACGAAGAUGAAUCAUGGAAUCUGACGAUUACAGAGGCGGCAGGUGCGAGAAUAAUUGGAAAGAAACCAGUAAUAAAGAAUGGUGAGACUUAUGUAGAAAAUAUAUGGAAUACAGCUGAAGUUGAAUGGCAACCUUGUAGGAUGAGAGGAGGCGAAUGGGAGUGUCUUAAAGAUGAAACUCUAAUACAGGAACUAAAGAAAACUGUAAAUUCCACAUAUGCCUUUGCAUCACACGAUAUGCUGACCGAGAACAGAAGAGGGAUGUGUGUGAUUCCCGGAAAGCAUGUGAGGGUACCUCACUGGCCAUCCCAUGUGGCGUCUGUCGGAUGGUUACAGGGAAUAGACAUAGGAGGAUUGAUGUAUGAUAGAUUGAGGUUUGUUAGAAAUGUGCUUUGUGAUGGAAACAAAUUAAAAAAUAGGGAGAAAACUGUUCCAAUUUUUCAGGAAUGGAAAAAUGAUAAUAUAAAAAUGAAACUAAAAGAAGAUAGCCCAUGGUAUAUCCCAACUGAUACUGUGAGGAAUUGUGCAGUGACAGAAAUCGAUAACUCAAGAAUUGUACUGGAGGCCUCGGAUGAUGUUUUUAACUGUGAAGCAAUAGGGAAGCAUAGUUAUAGAGAAAAGAGUAUGGAAAAAAGGGGGACAGGCCUGCCAGCUUGGAGGAUGUUUGGGGCUAUGAUGAUCGGGGUCGCCGUACAGGGAG
rnacentral:lncRNA from 1 species